UAAUGGUCAUUAUAAUAAUUAAUUUAACUAUUAUGAUAACAGGAUAUCAUGGUCAUUGGUAUAUUCUCUAGGUGUGUUUUUAAUUAUGUUGGCCAAUGAGACACCAUACUGUCCAGCGCUAAGAUGAGAUAUCAUUUGACCCUGUGAUUCUUCAGGACCAGAUCUUGAUGCCAUCCACACCCAGUACAUGACAAAGAUGCUGUGACAAAAAGCAGUCAAGCCACUGCAUGUGAUGUGGAAGCCUCUAUGAAGACAUGGCUCCGUAAUCCCUGGGACAGAGAUGGGGGAAGGCAAGGAAGGGCCAGAACUGCAGAAAUACCAACUGUUGCCCCUGAGGGGAUUGAUUUUUAAUUUUCAAUCCCCUGUUUUCUGUGGUUAUUGCUGUUUUAAACUGUAUUAUCAUUAAUUAUAAUUAUUAUUAAAUAUAAAUAAAUUAUUUGGGGAAAAAAACAUGACCCUCGAUUUAUUGCUGCUAACAAGUGCAAUU